UGCCAUAAGAUUGCGUGUCAAAAUCCUCAUG
rnacentral:piRNA from 1 species